rnacentral:rRNA from 1 species
UACGGGGGGAGCAAGCGUUGUUCGGAUUUACUGGGCGUAAAGGGCGCGUAGGCGGUCAGCACAAGUCAGUUGUGAAAUCUCCGGGCUUAACUCGGAAAGGUCAACUGAUACUGUGCGACUAGAGUGCAGAAGGGGCAACUGGAAUUCUCGGUGUAGCGGUGAAAUGCGUAGAUAUCGUUUGGAACGCCAAUGGUGAAAACAGCUCGCUGGGGGUAUGCUGACGCUGAGACACGAAAGCCAGGGGAGCGAACGGG